GGUGUUAUAGUGUAGUUGGUUAUCACGUCAGUCUUACACAUUGAAGGUUUUUGGUUCAAGUCUAAGUGACACCA